GUCUCCUUCGUCUAGGGGUCAGGACAUCGGGUUUUCAUCCCGACAACGGGGGUUCGACUCCCCCAGGAGAUG
rnacentral:tRNA from 1 species